rnacentral:lncRNA from 1 species
UCGAUGAGGGCGAGACCCUAACACGAAGCCAACCAAAUAAAAGCACACGAACAAGGAGACAACAAGGAGCCAGGCAUUCUUCGAAGGAACCCAGGAAGCAUCCACCCAAAAGAAGAACAGAAACAAAGCUAAAAAACAAGGAGAACUCGGAAAAAAAAAACAAGAAAGAGUAAACGUUAGAAUGAAGCACAAAACAGCAGAAUUAGGAAAAAAACAAAAGCUGCUUUGAUUGUCUGGAUAAUGCG